UGUUCGCACAGAGGUUGAACUGGUCUCUGGCACUGAUGUUGAGCUGGUUGUUGGCACAGAGGUUGAACUGGUUUCAGACACAGGUCUUGGGCUGGUUGUUGGCACAGGGGUUGAGCUAGUCUCUGGCACCGUGGUUGGGCUGGUUGUUGGCACAGAGGUUGAACUGGUCUCUGGCACAGAUCUUGGGCUGGUUGUUGGCACAGAGGUUGAGCUGGUCUCUGGCACUGAGGUUGGGCUGGUUGCUGGCACUGAUGUUGGGCUGGUUGCUGGCACAGGGGUUGAGCUGGUCUCUGGCACUGAGGUUGGGCUGGUUGUUGGCACAGGGGUUGAGCUGGUCUCUGGCACAGGUCUUGGGCUGGUUGUUGGCACAGGGGUUGAGCUGGUCUCUGGCACUGAGGUUGGGCUGCUUGUUGGCACAGAGGUUGAGUGGGAAGUCACCAGGUGGACAGUGGUCUCAGUUAGGCUGGUGGGGCUCAUACUUGGGGUGUGAGGGACUGUGACAGUUUUGUGCGUCGUGCAGUGCUCUGGGGGCUCACAGCACAACACCCGGACCUCAUAGUUGAGGCACAUCCCGACAUUGCCUCCCUGGUCCCGGUUCCGGCACACCAGGCCCUUGCUGAGGUCGCACUGCACCACCUGGCCCAGCUUCUCGAUGCUGACCUCGGGGUGGCUCUCGGCCCGGCACUCCAGCCGCGAGAUGUAUUCAGGCUGGCGGCAGAUUUUCUCUCCUCUUCUCAUGAUGUUGCUGAAGCUUUCCACGUCUCCUCCGUGGGGUCCCGGGGACGGGAAGUCCACGUCGAACCACUUGGUCCACGUGCACCUUGGCUGGCAGGUGACAGUCACAGGAGGGGAGUGGGUUGCUUCAGGUGUGUAGAAGGGAGUGGUGCUGGCUGUAGGAGCAGACGUUGUGCCAGUUGGUGGCACGGAGGUUGGGCUGGUCUGUGACACAGUGGUUGCACUGGUUGUUGGCAUCGAGGUUGGGCUGCUUCCUGGCACGGUGGUUGAGCUUGUUUCUGGCACUGAUUUUGGGCUGGUUGCUGGCACAGGGGUUGAGCUGGUCUCUGGCACUGAGGUUGGACUGGUUGUUGGCACAGAGGUUGAGCUGGUCUCUGGCACUGAGGUUGGGCUGGUUGUUGGCACAGAGGUUGAACUGGUCUCUGGCACAGAUCUUGGGCUGGUUGUUGGCACAGAGGUUGAGCUGGUCUCUGGCACUGAGGUUGGGCUGGUUGUUGGCACAGAGGUUGAACUGGUCUCUGGCACAGAUCUUGGGUUGGUUGUUGGCACAGGGGUUGAGCUGGUCUCUGGCACCUUGGUUAGGCUGCUUGUUGGCACAGAGGUGGAGUGGGAAGUCACCAGGUGGACGGUUGUCUCAGUUAGGCUGGUGGGGCUCAUACUUGGGGUGUGAGGGACUGUGACAGUUUUGUGCGUCGUGCAGUGCUCUGGGGGCUCACAGCACAACACCCGGACCUCAUAGUUGAGGCACAUCCCGACAUUGCCUCCCUGGUCCCGGUUCCGGCACACCAGGCCCUUGCUGAGGUCGCACUGCACCACCUGGCCCAGCUUCUCGAUGCUGACCUCGGGGUGGCUCUCAGCCCGGCACUCCAGCCGCGAGAUGUAUUCGGGCCGGCGGCAGAUUUUCUCUCCCCUUCUCAUGAUGUUGCUGAAGCUUUCCACGUCUCCUCCGUGGGGUCCCGGGGACGGGAAGUCCACGUCAAACCACUUGGUCCACAUGCACCUUGGCUGGCAGGUGACAGUCACAGGAGGAGAGUGGGUUGCUUCAGGUGUGUGGACGGGGGUGGUGCUGGCUGUACGAGCAGACGUUGUGCCAGUUGGUGGCACGGAUGUUGGGCUGGUCCAUGACACAGUGGUUGAGCUGGUUGUUGGCACCGAGGUUGGGCUGCUUGCUGGCACGGUGGUUGAGCUUGUUUCUGGCACUGAUGUUGGGCUGGUUGCUGGCACAGGGGUUGAGCUGGUCUCUGGCACUGAGGUUGGACUGGUUGUUGGCACAGAGGUUGAGCUGGUCUCUGGCACUGAGGUUGGGCUGGUUGUUGGCACAGAGGUGGAGUGGGAAGUCACCAGGUGGACGGUUGUCUCAGUUAGGCUGGUGGGGCUCAUACUUGGGGUGUGAGGGACUGUGACAGUUUUGUGCGUCGUGCAGUGCUCUGGGGGCUCACAGCACAAC